UACGGGGGGGGCAAGCGUUGUUCGGAAUUACUGGGCGUAAAGGGCGCGUAGGCGGUCUACUAAGUUGGAUGUGAAAACUCUGGGCUUAACCCAGAGCCUGCAUUCAAAACUGAUAGGCUGGAGUUCUGGAGGGGAUAGCGGAAUUCCUGGUGUAGCGGUGAAAUGCGUAGAUAUCAGGAGGAACACCGGUGGCGAAGGCGGCUAUCUGGACAGAAACUGACACUGAGGAACGAAAGCCAGGGGAGCAAACGGG
rnacentral:rRNA from 1 species